rnacentral:rRNA from 1 species
GACGAACGCUGGCGGCGCGCUUAACACAUGCAAGUCGAACGGAAAGGCCUGCUUUCCCUUGUGGAUUGCGGGUACUCGAGUGGCGAACGGGUGAGUAACACGUGAGUGAUCUGCCCCCAACUUGGGUAUAAGCCUGGGAAACUGGGUCUAAUUCCCGAUAGGACUGCAGGGUGGUGCCUGUGUUGGAAAACGAUUUUCUAGUGGUUGGGGAUGAGCUCGCGGCCUAUCAGCUUGUUGGUGGGGUAAUGGCCUACCAAGGCGGCGACGGGUAGCCGGCCUGAGAGGGUGGACGGCCACAUUGGGACUGAGAUACGGCCCAGACUCCUACGGGAGGCAGCAGUGGGGAAUAUUGCACAAUGGGCGGAAGCCUGAUGCAGCGACGCCGCGUGGGGGAUGACGGCCUUCGGGUUGUAAACUCCUUUCGACCGCGAGGAAGCCACCUGGUUGGAAGGGUGGUGACGGUAGUGGUAGAAGAAGCACCGGCUAACUACGUG